ACUGAACGCUGGCGGCAGGCUUAACACAUGCAAGUCGAGCGGAGAUGAGGUGCUUGCACCUUAUCUUAGCGGCGGACGGGUGAGUAAUGCUUAGGAAUCUGCCUAUUAGUGGGGGACAACAUUCCGAAAGGAAUGCUAAUACCGCAUACGUCCUACGGGAGAAAGCAGGGGAUCUUCGGACCUUGCGCUAAUAGAUGAGCCUAAGUCGGAUUAGCUAGUUGGUGGGGUAAAGGCCUACCAAGGCGACGAUCUGUAGCGGGUCUGAGAGGAUGAUCCGCCACACUGGGACUGAGACACGGCCCAGACUCCUACGGGAGGCAGCAGUGGGGAAUAUUGGACAAUGGGGGGAACCCUGAUCCAGCCAUGCCGCGUGUGUGAAGAAGGCCUUAUGGUUGUAAGGCACUUUAAGCGAGGAGGAGGCUACUGAGACUAAUACUCUUAGAUAGUGGACGUUACUCGCAGAAUAAGCACCGGCUAACUCUGUGCCAGCAGCCGCGGUAAUACAGAGGGUGCGAGCGUUAAUCGGAUUUACUGGGCGUAAAGCGUGCGUAGGCGGCUUUUUAAGUCGGAUGUGAAAUCCCCGAGCUUAACUUGGGAAUUGCAUUCNAUACUGGGAA
rnacentral:rRNA from 1 species